CGAUGCUGAAACCAUGGACGUGGCAAUGAAAUUGCAGUCAUGGAGGAGCCGGCAUUCGAAUUCAGAGGGCAAGAAUAGGGGAAUUGAUGCAAGCUGUUCAUCUCAGGGGUCAACAAACGGAGUGGGUUCUCAACAAAUGGAUGAAACUGCCCAUUCAGAAGCUAGUAUUGCUGCUUCCUCAACAGGUCAACAUCUUGAGCAUG